rnacentral:rRNA from 1 species
AGCCAGCAGCCGCGGUAAUACGUAGGGGGCGAGCGUUGUCCGGAUUUACUGGGCGUAAAGAGCGCGUAGGCGGCCUUUUAAGUCGGCUGUGAAAUCUCCCGGCUCAACUGGGAGCAGUCGGCCGAGACUGGGGGGCUUGAGGGCGGUAGAGGAAGGUGGAAUUCCGGGUGUAGUGGUGAAAUGCGUAGAGAUCCGGAGGAACACCGGUGGCGAAGGCGGCCUUCUGGGCCGUACCUGACGCUGAGGCGCGAAAGCGUGGGGAGCGAACUGAAUUAGAUACUCAGGUAGUCCACGCCCUAAACGAUGGACGCUAGGUGUUGGGGGUAUCGACCCCCCCGGUGCCGAAGCUAACGCAUUAAGCGUCCCGCCUGGGGAGUACGGCCGCAAGGCUAAAACUCAAAGGAAUUGACGGGGGCCCGCACA